GACGAACGCUGGCGGCGUGCUUAACACAUGCAAGUCGAACGAAGUGGCGAACGGGUGAGUAACGCGUAAUCAACCUGCCCUUCAGAGGGGGACAACAGUUGGAAACGACUGCUAAUACCGCAUACUGAAGGAGGGGAUCGCGUCUGAUUAGCUAGUUGGAGGGGUAACGGCCCACCAAGGCGACGAUCCCUAGCUGGUCGAGGAGGAUGACCAGCCACCCGGGAACUGAGACCCGGUCCAGACUCCUACGGGAGGAAGCAGUGGGAAAUAUUGCACAAUGGGCGCAGGCCUGAUGCAGCCAUGCCGCGUGUGUGAAGAGGGCCUUCGGGUUGUAAAGCACUUUCAGCGAGGAGCGUUACCCGCAGAAGAAGCACCGGCUAACUCCGUGCCAGCAGCCGCGGUAAUUC
rnacentral:rRNA from 1 species